rnacentral:rRNA from 1 species
GACGAACGCUGGCGGCGUGCUUAACACAUGCAAGUCGAACGGAAAGGCCCUGCUUUUGUGGGGUGCUCGAGUGGCGAACGGGUGAGUAACACGGGAGUAACCUGCCCUUGACUUUGGGAUAACCGCAGGCAACCGGGACUAAUACCGGAUAGCUGCUCCUGCUGCAUGGGGGGGGUCGGAACUUUUCGGCGGAGGGGGAUGGACUUCCGGCUUACUAGCUUGUUGGUGGGGUAGUGGCCUACCAGGCGAUUGACGGGUAGCCGGCCUGGGAGGGGGACCGGCCUCAAUGGGCCUGAGAUACGGCCCAGAGUCCUACGGGAGGCAGCAGUGGGGAAUAUUGCACAAUGGGCGGAAGCCUGAUGCAACAGCGCCGCGUGCGGGAUGACGGCCUUCGGGUUGUAAACCGCUUUCGCCUGUGACGAAGCGUGAGUGACGGUAAUGGGUAAAGAAGCACCGGCUAACUACGUG